UCCCAAGGAACCUCACAAAGCUCUCCUAAGAGGAUUUUGCUGCACCCUUCUCCCGACAAGCCUGUUCCUUUUGAUUGAGCACGCCAAAAGAAAAAGCAUAGUUUUGGUGAACCUAAUCUAGCCUCCUCCUCCUCCCAGCUCCCAAGUGAGGGGCCCCAGCCUGAGUUUCCCA